GCCGGGAUGGCGGAAUUUGGUAGACGCAAGGGACUUAAAAUCCCUCGGUUCUUUGGGACCAUGCCGGUUCAAUUCCGGCUCCCGGCA
rnacentral:tRNA from 1 species